UACGUAGGGCGCAAGCGUUUGUCCGGAAUUAUUGGGCGUAAAGAGCUCGUAGGCGGCCUGUUGCGUCCGCUGUGAAAUCCCGGGGCUCAACCCCGGGCCUGCAGUGGAUACGGGCUGGCUAGAGGCAGGCAGGGGAGAACGGAAUUCCUGGUGUAGCGGUGAAAUGCGCAGAUAUCAGGAGGAACACCGGCGGCGAAGGCGGGUCUCUGGGCCAUAACUGACGCUGAGGAGCGAAAGCGUGGGGAGCGAACAGG
rnacentral:rRNA from 1 species